GACGAACGCUGGCGGCGUGCUUAACACAUGCAAGUCGAACGGAAACGCCCUGCCUUUGUGGGGUGCAUGAGUGGCGAACGGGUGAGUAACACGUGAGUAACCUGCCCUUGACUUUGGGAUAACUUCAGGAAACUGGGGCUAAUACCGGAUAGGAGCUCCUGCUGCAUGGUGGGGGUUGGAAAGUUUUGGCGGUUGGGGAUGGACUCGCGGCUUAUCAGCUUGUUGGUGGGGUAGUGGCUUACCAAGGCUUUGACGGGUAGCCGGCCUGAGAGGGGGACCGGCCACAUUGGGACUGAGAUACGGCCCAGACUCCUACGGGAGGCAGCAGUGGGGAAUAUUGCACAAUGGGCGGAAGCCUGAUGCAGCGACGCCGCGUGCGGGAUGACGGCCUUCGGGUUGUAAACCGCUUUCGCCUGGGAAGAAGCGAGAGUGACGGUAAUGGGUGAAGAAGCGCCGGCUAACUACGUG
rnacentral:rRNA from 1 species